UACAGAGGUCUCAAGCGUUGUUCGGAUUCAUUUGGGCGGUAAAGGGUGCGUAGGCGGCGCGGUAAGUCGGGUGUGAAAGUCUCGGAGCUUAACUCCGAAACUGCAUUCGAUACUGCCGUGCUUGAGGACUGGAGAGGAGACUGGAAUUUACGGUGUAAGCGGUGGAAUGCGCAGAUAUCAGGAGGAACACCAAUAGCGAAGGCAGCUCGCUGGGACGGUACUGACGCUGAGGCGCGAAAGCGUGGGGAGCGAACGG
rnacentral:rRNA from 1 species